CAGCGCUGAACAACCGUUAACCAUUUCUGUGUGGGACGAUCUUACAGGGACAGAAGCCAACCUCUUGAAAUCAUGGGUUGGGCCAGCCCUUGUCGUUGGCUUCACAUCUCUCAAACCAUCUAGCCACAAAGGUUUUUCUCUUUCAACUACUAUGUCAACUUCAUUUCACCGCAAUCCAGUUGGAGAUAGAGCAGAUGCACUACGCCAAUGGUCCAGGGAAAAGCGUGCACUGGUGCUUUCAAGGAUGGAACGCAUUCAGGAGGUUCGGAAUCCAACCGAACAAAAUGAAGUCCUCUCGAUUGAGUCGAU